rnacentral:rRNA from 1 species
GCGAACAGGAUUAGAUACCCUGGUAGUCCACGCCGUAAACGAUGUCGACUUGGAGGUUGUUCCCUUGAGGAGUGGCUUCCGGAGCUAACGCGUUAAGUCGACCGCCUGGGGAGUACGGCCGCAAGGUUAAAACUCAAAUGAAUUGACGGGGGCCCGCACAAGCGGUGGAGCAUGUGGUUUAAUUCGAUGCAACGCGAAGAACCUUACCUACUCUUGACAUCCAGAGAACUUAGCAGAGAUGCUUUGGUGCCUUCGGGAACUCUGAGACAGGUGCUGCAUGGCUGUCGUCAGCUCGUGUUGUGAAAUGUUGGGUUAAGUCCCGCAACGAGCGCAACCCUUAUCCUUUGUUGCCAGCGGUUAGGCCGGGAACUCAAAGGAGACUGCCAGUGAUAAACUGGAGGAAGGUGGGGAUGACGUCAAGUCAUCAUGGCCCUUACGAGUAGGGCUACACACGUGCUACAAUGGCGCAUACAAAGAGAAGCGACCUCGCGAGAGCAAGCGGACCUCAUAAAGUGCGUCGUAGUCCGGAUUGGAGUCUGCAACUCGACUCCAUGAAGUCGGAAUCGCUAGUAAUCGUAGAUCAGAAUGCUACGGUGAAUACGUUCCCGGGCCUUGUACACACCGCCCGUCACACCAUGGGAGUGGGUUGCAAAAGAAGUAGGUAGCUUAACCUUCGGGAGGGCGCUUACCACUUUGUGAUUCAUGACUGGGG